rnacentral:lncRNA from 1 species
AUGUUGCAUGUGUUGACAGCGUGCCAUCCCCGCAUAAUGUGCGAGCAUUACAAAAAAGUUCCUUUGCUUUGCAGGAACUGUAAGGUCAGAAAUGGAGUGAGACUGCAAACCCAGCUGCCUGUGAGGCUUCCCAGACCAUGCAAAAUGCCAGAAGUUCCUGUGUCAAGCCAGAUCUACUCUGGGGGAGAACUGGCUGAGUUUUGUCCAAACCCAACCUUGCUCUCCCCAGCCUCUCCUCCCCACGCAGACACAUAUGUAUCCCUGCUAGAGUUCUCCUUGGGCCUGACUCACCUCCUCCUGGAAUCACUGGACAUCUUUCUCCUGGAUUUGUUGGAAGCUUAUCUGGUCAUGUACAUUUUAUUUUGAAUUUCUGAGAAAUUUAUGUACAAUGCUGUGAGUUGAUGUAGAAGUAAACAUUUAUUGUACAGAGAAUAAAUACUGAAAAGUGAUGUUAUUUAAUGGAAAA